CUUAUGAGGCAGCUGCGUCAGUGGCAUCCGAAGGCGGAUGAGGUGAUGAUGAUGAAGCUGACCCCCGCCAUCUCCAACGGGCCCCAUUCUCCCUCCCUCCUACUCCUCUUCCCUUGUCUUCGCCGCCCAAACCUCCCUUUCCUUCGACCACGCAUCCCGAGGGCGGAGAUGUCGUCGUCGUCCUCCUCCUCCUCCUCCUCCCAAAGGGAGCAGGCUGCCGUCGCCUCAUCCUCCGCCCCUCCUCUACCGGCCAACCGAAUCGUGUUGGGUUGCGGCGCGGUGUCGGUGGAUUAUUUGGCCUCGGUGGCUUCCUUCCCAAAGCCUGAUGAUAAGAUCCGAAGCACGAGCUUGAAGGUAGGAGGAGGCGGAAAUACGGGAAAUGCUUUAACAAGUGCAGCUCGUCUGGGUUUGAAACCUAGGAUAAUCUCUAAGGUGGCUAGUGAUGCACAAGGUGAAAAUGCGCUUGCAGAACUUGAAGCUGAUGGAGUUGAUACAUCCUAUAUGGUGGUUUCAGAAACUGGAAAUUCACCAUUUACCUAUAUAAUAGUCGACAACCAAACGAAAACUCGUACCUGUAUUCACACCCCGGGAGACCCUGAAAUGGUGCCAGAAGAUCUUUCACGGUCUAGCUUGUCUUCUGCUUUAGAUGGUGCAAGUCUUGUGUACUUUGAUGGAAGAUUGCAUGAAACUGCUUUGGUUGUUGCUGAAGAGGUGGCAAGCCGAAGGAAAAUUCCUAUUUUAAUUGAUGCAGAAAGAAAGAGGGAGGGACUGGAUGAUCUUCUUAACCUGGCAACUUACAUUGUAUGCUCAGAAAAAUUUCCCCAGGCAUGGACAACUGCACCAUCUAUUCCUACUGCACUAGUAUCUAUUCUUCUGAGACUACCUCAUGUCAAAUUUGUAAUUGUGACCCUUGGAGAUAAAGGCUGCAUGUUGCUUGAGAGAAGCAUAAAUGAGGCUCCUGAGACGGAGGAAACAUAUGUAGAAAGUUUAGUUGAGUCACUGAGGCAGAAAGCUAGUGGAAGCAGUACGAUUCCGACAUGUAUUUCUUCCAAGUCAAGCCUCAGAAUUAGUGCAGAUGGAAUAGGUGCUAUAAGUGGGAGGUUACUUGUGUGUACAGCAGAGGUGGUACCUCCUUCAGAGCUAAUUGACACCACUGGUGCUGGAGAUGCAUUCAUUGGAGCAGUUCUCUAUGACCGGGUCAAGAGGUUCAGUCGGUCCAAGGCGUUACCUCAGGCUUGUUGCAUCCUUGUGUUGGAAAAGAUCUGUAUGGGGAAACAUCAUAAAGUCUUCCCCCGACAAAAUCCAUCCCUAAUCUAGAGAGACCAGCAACCAUGCGACCUUCUUACACGACUAUAGUUGUUGGUUUUUUUUUUUGGAAAAAAAAAGACCAUACCAUACACACAUGAACGCAAAAGAAAAGAAAAGGGAUACAUGUAUGAAAGUCGGCAAUGUGGCUGCCCCUUGGUUGCCGACCUCAUGUUACGCUUUCCUUCCAGAGGAGCCGGUCUCUCACCCUCUUUGUCGGUGUAGGCAGCGAAUUCCAGAGUAGAGGCCGUUCGAGGGGAAGAAGGAGAAGGCGAUGCAGACUCCGGCGGGGGGGUUCUUGUGCCAGCAACAAGAGCAGCAGGAGCAGGAUACGAUGGAGGAGGCGGGCGUCGUCGGCGGGGUGGGCAUGGAGGUGGACGACGCCGACCCCAUUGACGUCCUCCCCGAGUUCGACAAGCAUCUCCCCCCGGUCGACGCCGACUUCUUCAACUCCUUCGACGACGACUUCGACGACCAAGACCUUGCCUGAUCAACAACCAUUUCCCUCUUUCCCUCCCCGGAGAUAGGACUUCAAUGCCUCGUCUACUGUGGAAGGGAGAAACAGAGGUGUUUGGUCCAUUCUUCAGUCUAUGUCAGUGGCUUUAGAGAUGCUAGGUCAUUUAUGUUAAGUGGCCAUCCUGGUGUUAGAUUACUCAUUACUAUGUAGAUAUAUAAGUCAGUCAGUUGGAAAGGUCACUGUGCUGCAAUAGAUGUUAAGACCAAACAUUUAAAAGCAUGGUUUGUCAUACCGGUGUAUAAUGCUCCGUACUAAAUAUAUCCUAACAUGUAUGGUUAUCUAAUCAAGAUUUGGUAAAGGGGAUGCACCACAUCUCAGUAUGCCAAAUUGACUCCAUAUUGAGCAUACUAAUACCACAUUAUUAGUAUGGUAUCGAGUAUUGAGUAUGAGGUUCAGUACCGAGAUUACGAACCUUGUUUAAAAAAAUUCUGUACAUCAAAUUUAAUAUAAUUUUAUAAAGUGGAAAAUGAGUUAAUUAAA